UUGUAUAAAGAUGUUGUUUCACGUUCUAUGUAUUUGCACUCUGAUAUUCCAUAUCCCAGACAUUUAUGGGGCGGUUUAUACAGUUGCUAAUACAACCGAUAAAUUUACCGAUUUUAAGCUAAAAUAUAAUAAACAAUAUAAAGACUCGUUUGAUGAAAGUAAUCAUUAUUUGGCAUUUAUAAACAACUUGAAUGCCGCUGCGGCACUGAAUGCUACAUCGCAAGGGAGCAAGACCGUCUAUGUGAUGAAUAAAUAUGCAGAUUUGGACCCGGCGGAAGUUGAGGAAAGCUACGCUAUUCACUUAAAGACUUAUGAUGCGGUCAAAGAAGGUGAUCACCAGCAGGCAUUAAGAAGUGAUCAUGGAAUUGAAAUUAAUGACGAUAAUCUGUUUAAUUUAAAAGAUUCAGACGAACUUUUUCAAAAGUAUAUUGAAGAGGAACACAGAACCUUCAAGGACAAGCGCGAUGGCUUUUUACAUUUCUACAGGUUUGUUAAAACACUGGCACAGAAAAAUAGAGGCAUCUACGAAGGCAGCGACACUCCGGACCUUGGGCAUUCUGCGGAUAUAUUGACCGAAAGCAAAGAGUUCUUCUAUUGAGGCUUUUUUUUUUUUUUUUUUUUAUUGGAAAAGCCGCCAUGGGUCUGAUAUUACUGCCACUGUCACAAUGUAUGAAAUGGUACUUAUGGUAAAGAAAUCAAUUUCCUUGACCGUACCUAUUCUAUUAAUCAAAUCACAAAAUGGGUCUUCAAAUCCUAAAUUUUCACUUAACUGUGCACCUUUAACGGCCGGUUAGCAAUCGUUACAAAACUGACGGUCAAUGUCAAAUCCCAUACAUUUUGCCAGGAAUGUAACGGUUAGACGUUACUGAAACACGCCUUAAGUCGCGCUUUCAAGUAAAGCCCGACCAUUAAUAUAUGAUCAUGCGCCAUGUUGCGGAAUUUCAUUGGAACUAAUUUCUUACACUGGCAAUAAUUUUAAUGAUAGGUUGUCACUGUUGUCAGUGUCAUUGUGGCGGUUUACUUGAAUAAUACUUAAGUGUUGAAUAUUAAAUAAUAAAUGACAAGAAAUGGCCAAAACUAUACAUAAUCAAGAGCGAAACAUUGUAAAUAAUAAACUGCUGGAAAAGAACCGUUCGGGAAAUUAAACUAUUUCGCUACGAAACAUUUCCAAAUUAACAUCAGAGCUGACAGGUAGACAAAUCAAAAUGUCAUUAUAGUCUGGUUAUUACGACUUGGUUAUUGUAGUGCUAUGGUAUACAAGCGAGGAAAUACUUAAGUACAGUAACAAAGAUGUGUUUGAAAAAUAUUUACUAUGGGCAAAGAUAUACAUGUCGAAUACCGAUGGUCUUAAAGGCGGUGGGCGCAUGGGGGUAGUACAUACCUAGAUGUAUUACUUCACAGCUAAACCAGUAUGCUACCAUUGCGUGAAAUAAACAUUCGAACUCGUUAACCAUACUAGUGCCUACCAUAUUUUAGUACUAAAUUAAAAAAAAAGAACUAAUCGCUAUUAGGAGGUUAUCUGAUUAAAAAUUGAAAAUAAAAAGAUCACAUGAAACCGUUUCAAUCUUUAUUCAAUUCAAACUAGGCCGGCUCCAACCGUACACCUCUGACCUGAGAAGAUUUAGCCCUAUAUGGGACCGGCAACAAACUCAGCGGGACACAUCUUUUCAAAACAACACAUCACACAUCCUUUCUUUAUUUCACAAAACUAAGCUUCUAAUGAAACAUAAGAAAUCAAAAUAACACUUGAAAUAAAACACUUUAGCUAAAUGAUUAAAGAACGCUGGAUUUUAUAAGCUAUCAGAAUAAUCCUUCAGGUAUAAGCCUUCAGGAACGUAGCGAGUUAGGCACGAGGUUGGCUAACGAGUACGUCCGAUCUCUAGCGCGGUCCGAUCAAGAAGAACUACCAGCGGCGGAGCCUCUCCGCUCCCGCCUCAGUCAAGUUGGCAAACCUGCUCGACCAGUCUACCAACAUACCGACAAAAACGCCAACUCGUGCCUACGCUCACUCGAGAGAAACCUCUCGACGUUCCAAAGACUUCUACCUGUCAUCUCAGUUCAACAACACGCCAAUAGAUGGCGUUACUCUCUACGCAACUUUAUUUCAACAAAGCGCCAAUAGACGGAGUUACUCUCUACACAACUUUAUUUAUUUUGUUACAACCAAAUAAUACGUAGCUCAACAUUGAUAAUCGAUUUUAUACAGGCGUCUAAAAUAAUGAACUAUAACGCUGCAAUACGUCUUUCUGGUAUCAGGCUCCGACUACAUAACAUACAUUUUCAUAACAUAGAUUUUUAUUUUUAGUUUUAAACUUGUAUCGAUAGAUAGCAAUAAAUUUACAGUGAUUACAAAAUUUACUAUGACAAUAACUCUCUAUACACUCUAUUCUCUUUGCUAUGGGCUUUGGAGGCGAUCAAUUUUAUUCAUUGACAAUGUAGCAGACCCUAUGUAAGGUAAUUUUGACAUAUGUGUGACGCGUAAGAAAAUACAUGAAUUUUAUAGGGUAAAAACCGACAAUAAAAAAAUGUGAACGCCGAAUAUUUGGAUACUGAUUAUGAUUAGAGUGAGUAAAAGUAUGUAAGUCAAAAUAACGAGUUGCCAAUCCACAUUGUUCAGACUAUACUAAACUGUUGCCAUAUAAAUGAGAAUAAUAGCGCCCUCUUGACAAUGAUCAUAUAUUACUGGUCAGGCUUUACAAGUUAAAUGAAAAUGCUCACCUACCUAUUACGUACGACCAAUAUUGUUCGCGUGAAAUAAACAAAACGAUUUAAUAAUAGAUAAUAAAAAUCUAUAGAUACAUCCAUAUACACAAAAGUUGACGUAUUUUUAUAACCUAAACUGCAAAUACCUUGAAGCUUUUACAAACCCUAUUCUAAAUAAACCCAUUUGCGUUGUUUCGCGGGCCACAUAAUGUAAGCGGGGCUAAACGAAACAGCAUUUGUACGGUUCAAGUCUGCCCGCCGUAGAUUCUUCCCGGGAGAAAUCCGGUGGCGGUACUUUAGACUAGGAACCAGAUGCCGGUUUGCCUAGGUCAUUGAUUAUAGCAGUUUCGUCUGGUAGAACGUCCAUGUUACGUAAUUAGACUUUUUAAGGGUACAUUCUGAUUGUAACUGCAGCAGUAACUCUGCAGUGCUACUAGUUCAGUUUCUUUAUUUAUGUAUACCUACUCUGUCAAGCAAUUUCCGUCAGUAGAAAAGAGCGGCAUUUAAAAAAUGUAGGCGCGAAGGCUUAUCGUCCCAGAGAAAAAUUGAAUUUCGCGUCUUUUUCUACUGACAAACUUGUUUGACCGGCUAUUAUAUAUAUUUUACAGGUCAUACAUUUUUACAUAUAAGCUAAUUACGAAAAAAAAUUAAAUAAAUUAAAUUAAAUGUCAAUAUUUACGUUUCCUAAGAACACAUACAAAACUGUUUAUUAACAUAAAAUUUUCAAACAAUUUCUUUCUUGCUUGGUCUAGAAGUAGACAUUUAAGUUUUUUAACAAACAUUAGGUAAGGUAAACGUACUAGUGCUCGACAUGCUAAUGCCCAAUAGAUGAAACCUUGCUGUCACCUCUAUU